rnacentral:rRNA from 1 species
CCCUUAGAUGUUCUGGGCCGCACGCGCGCUACACUGAUUCAUGCAACAAGUUUUGUCCUUGGCUGAUAGGCCUGGGUAAUCUUUGAACGUGAAUCGUGAUGGGGAUAGAUGAUUGCAAUUAUUCAUCUUCAACGAGGAAUUCCUAGUAAACGCAAGUCAUCAGCUUGCAUUGAUUACGUCCCCGCCCUUUGUACACACCGCCCGUCGCACCUACCGAUUGAAUGGUCCGGUGAAAUCUUCGGAUCUGAGAGAUGUCUGAUUAAUUUCGGACGCCUUUUGGAAAAGUUGUUUAAACCUUACCAUUUAGAGGAAGGUGAANUCGUANCA